CCCUUCCCUUUUGUUGUUCUUCCAGAUCCUGUUGUGGUUUCUAUUGCAGAUGGGUUUCUUUGAGCCAUGAAGAUUGCAUGGUUGAAGGGUGACUUCAGUUUGCUAAGCAGCAGCUUCUCCUGGCAUGAGCCACUGCAGAUCUCCUCAUCAGACGGGCUGAGACUAUCCUGUGUGCCCUGCACUUGGAGUAAGGAGAACACAGCAAGGUUGGUCCAACAGGACUUCAGAGAAAAGAAACUACAGUAUUUCUGAACCUCUUCAACAUCUACAGCUGGUACCCCUACCCCCAGCAUCUUCACCUUCAAUCUGCUCUUUGCAAAUCAGAAUUUUUUUGUUGAUUGGGGAGCCCCACAGAACUGAUGUGGUGUGAUGUGUAGCAAACCAAAAUGAAUUAAGAAAAAAAAAUUCAAGCGAUGGACACACAUCUAAGAAAAUAAACCUGUGUCUCUGGGAGGACA
rnacentral:lncRNA from 1 species